UGCGUGUGUUAGUUGAUGUUUCAAUAACGAGCUGAACACUACGCUGUGAUUGGCUGAUCAGCGGGAUGUUCAGGUGCUGGAGGAGGAUGCGAGCAGCCGCUGGAUGUCAUGUGUGUGAGGAGAGAUAGCCACGCUGAGAGGGGGAAAGAAAGCUGACUAAUAAAGGAGCUAAUCAAUUAUUAGCCAUUUAAUUUAUUCCUCAAACAGUAACUUAGCCGCUGCAAAAAUAAGCCGCUGUAAAUGGACGCAAAUCCUGUAAAUCAGUUCGCACCAGUCGGCGCCCCGUAAGCUAAAGCGCGUGACUGUGUGUGUGCCUGCGUGGGAAAUCACAUAUCACCGAUCAAUGGAAGUUAACCGAGCCAAACACGCCUCGCUGUCAGUGCGUGGACGUCUGUAGCCUGAGGACACACCGCGGAUGUUAAUUUCGCUGACCUGCAGGCUUUAUCUUCAAAGUCUUUAAGGACAACGAUUUGUGAUUCUAGCGACCUUUGACCCUUGACUCCAAAGCAGUGAUGGGACGUAAACUGGACCUGUCCGGUCUGAGCAAUGAUGAAGCAGAGCAUGUGCUCAGAGUGGUACAGAGAGACAUGCACCUCCGUAAGAAGGAAGAAGAGAGGCUCAGGUGAGAUCCAGCAUUACACAUUCUGUACCUCAGCAUCUGAACUGACAAUGCAAGUGUAGUGAAGAAUAUCAAAAAGUAAGAAAUGAAAGAUCAGAGAAAGAGAGGGAGGAGAGCCAAAGACAUGAGGAAGGUGAGAAAAUAUGAAUAAACAGUGAAGGCUGGGUGUUUGUGUGCA
ensembl:lncRNA